UACGAAGGGGGCUAGCGUUGUUCGGAAUUACUGGGCGUAAAGGGCGCGUAGGCGGCGUGUCAAGUCAGGCGUGAAAGCCCCGGGCUCAACCUGGGAACCGCGCUUGAGACUGGCAUGCUCGAGUUCGGGAGAGGAUGGUGGAAUUCCCAGUGUAGAGGUGAAAUUCGUAGAUAUUCGCAAGAACACCAGUGGCGAAGGCGGCUCACUGGCCCGGUACUGACCGCUGAGGCG
rnacentral:rRNA from 1 species